CGGAGAUUUUAGGCAGGCUUCACACUCAGCACCCGGCAGGUCCUGGGGCUCGAUCUCACAACCCUGAGAUCAAGACUUGAAUAAGGAUCAGAAGCUCAAGCAACUGAGCCCUCCGACCCCCUUUUGGAAGCCUUUCCGGCCCCCCUUCGGCCAUCUCCCACCAGGCGGGUCUAGACCCUCCCUCCAGUCAGGACCAGUUGCGUAAGCUGCAGGGCGCUGUGCAAAAUGCAAACCGGGGCGCCUGUUAAAAGUCCAUAAAAAUCCCCAAAUGGCCACAGCAGAGCAGAGCACGAAAGCCAGUGAGGCCCCUGAGUGGCCGCCCGGGUCCCAGGCCGGCUCCUGCGCCCCGUGGCCCCCGCGCUCCCCUGGGCCGCCCCGUGCCCCUGCCGCACACAUCUGCAGCUAUCGUGCCGACACGGAGCAGUUGUCGACUUUCUAUAACCAGGACGAUGUUCAUAACCUGGAUUUCUGGCUUCUGUUAAGAAAUCAGAGGAUUUGGGAUGCCCCGGGGGGGCUCAGUGGUGGAGCGUCUGCCUCGGCUCAGGGUGUGAUCCCGGGGUCCUGGGAUCGAGUCCCGCAUCGGGCUCCCUGCAGGGGCCUGCUUCUCCCUCUGCCCGCGUCUCUCUCUCUCUCUCUCUCUCUCUCUUUCUCUCUCGGUCUCAUGAAUAAAUAAAUAAAAUCUUAAAAGAAGAACAAGGAGGAGGAGGAGGAGGAGGAGGCCGGCGGGCCGGGCCAGCGCUCCCCGCGGACCGCGAUCUCCAGGAGCGGCUCCUGCCGUCCCCCUCGAUGUUCCAAGUCCGCCAUGUGCCCACCGACCAGCCUGAGCCACCCGGAGAGGCCGCCUUCAGGCCCUGCGGGGCACACGCACGCCCAGCGCCUGCUCCUGCUCCCAGCCUCGGAGCUCGUCCGUACCCCGUGUACUCCCGUGUACCCCCGUGUGCCCCCAUGUACCCGGCACAGUGACGCUGUCCAGGCGUCGGCGGGCGAGUGCAUGGCGGCCGUGGGGGGCUCCCGCUCACGAGUAUGGAAACCUGGGGUGGCUCGUCGGUUAAGCGCCGGACUCCUGACUGCGGCUCAGCUCGCGAUCUCAGGGUCGCCAGACGAGCCCCGGGUCGGGCUCCAUGCUCAGCAGGGACUCUGCUUGAGACUCUGUCUCCCUCUCCCUCGCCCAACCCCCAAAAAAAUAAAUAAAUAAAAUCUUAAAAAAAAACACAAGUGUAGAAAGCCAGCCAGCUCCUGGUGCUAUGAGGGCCUGGGUGGGGACAAGGGCCGAGGCUUACUAGGCAGUGUCCCACUUUCUCACAUGCAGGUGCACCUGCAGCCCGCACGGCGUGUAACAGAUGCCCCCAGGCCUGGCCUUCUGCGCGCCCGCGGCCCACGCAGCUCCCCUCUUGUCUCAGGAAGAACAGGGCCCUGAGUUGGUGCCCGCAGCGUAAGCACCUUCCAUGAUGUGUAGAGCAGAGCACAGAUCCACGUGAGAGCCCCAAGCUCCAGGCCCGGGCCAGGGCAACAGCAGCAGCAAUUAGCUCAGCUCAGCUGCCCGUUACUGGAACCUUUGUGUCAACUCUGGAGCCGAUCCAGGAAACCAUGCCCAGUGUCCCGCAUGACUCAGUCUCACCUGCCCACCUCCACACCUGCGCCAGCCUCGGUGACCCAGGCUGCAGCACUGCAGGGCAAGUCCCAGGCUCCCCUGGUGCAUCCCUCACCUACCCCGGGUGCCUGCAAGGCAUGCCGGGAUUUAGAGUCCUUAGGGCACCAGCUUGGUCCCUUGACUGAUUUCUAGCGAAGAAGAAAUGCUCCAGGCAGGCCCAGAGCGGGGGUCGGAAAACCGGAACCUCUGCGGGGAACGCAGGCAGAAGCGUUUGCUCUCCUGUUACUGUCCGCUCUGGGAGACGCGUACGGCCGGGAGUAAGAAGGCCCCGACGUCCAGAGCUGUUGAGGGCAUAGAGGUUGGUAACUCAAGCUUGCCACAGGCCCUUGGUCUAGGUGUGACUUCGGAGACGCUUCCCAAGGGCACUUUGACAAACGGUCUAAAAGCCUUAAAAAACCCAUGCGCACCACUGUCCGCAGCAGCUUCAUGCCUGAGGAUUGAGAAAAUAAAGAAAAAAAAAGGAAAUAACUGGAUAGGUCCGCGAGAAUCUGCACGGGCCGCCGUUACGCCGCUGUUACAACUGCAGGUGGACAAGAGCCGCCUAAGGGCCGGUCCUCGGAGGACCAGCACGGGACGGAGGCUCAUUCAGACACGAGGCCGCCAGGAGAGUGAUGCUGGGGGGCCGGGGGGGAUGGGGGGGCUGCCCUGGGCUCAGGUCAUGACCCGGGGCCCGCUGGAG